rnacentral:tRNA from 1 species
CCCUGGCUAGCUCAGUUGGUAGAGCAUCAGACUUUUAAUCUGAAGGUCCAGGGUUUAAGUCCCUGGUCAGGUGA